GCGGGUGAAAAGCCCGCUCGCCGGAAGACCAAGGGUUCCUGUCCAACGUUAAUCGGGGCAGGGUGAGUCGACCCCUAAGGCGAGGCCGAAAGGCGUAGUCGAUGGGAAACGGGUUAAUAUUCCCGUACUUGGUGUUACUGCGAAGGGGGGACGGAGAAGGCUAUGUUGGCCGGGCGACGGUUGUCCCGGUUUAAGCGUGUAGGUGUGUGUUCCAGGUAAAUCCGGUUCACUUUAACACUGAGGCGUGACGACGAGGCACUACGGUGCUGAAGCAACAAAUGCCCUGCUUCCAGGAAAAGCCUCUAAGCAUCAGGUAACAUCAAAUCGUACCCCAAACCGACACAGGUGGUCAGGUAGAGAAUACCAAGGCGCUUGAGAGAACUCGGGUGAAGGAACUAGGCAAAAUGGUGCCGUAACUUCGGGAGAAGGCACGCUGACACGUAGGUGAAGUGAUUUACUCAUGGAGCUGAAGUCAGUCGAAGAUACCAGCUGGCUGCAACUGUUUAUUAAAAACACAGCACUGUGCAAACACGAAAGUGGACGUAUACGGUGUGACGCCUGCCCGGUGCCGGAAGGUUAAUUGAUGGGGUCAGCGCAAGCGAAGCUCCUGAUCGAAGCCCCGGUAAACGGCGGCCGUAACUAUAACGGUCCUAAGGUAGCGAAAUUCCUUGUCGGGUAAGUUCCGACCUGCACGAAUGGCGUAAUGAUGGCCAGGCUGUCUCCACCCGAGACUCAGUGAAAUUGAACUCGCUGUGAAGAUGCAGUGUACCCGCGGCAAGACGGAAAGACCCCGUGAACCUUUACUAUAGCUUGACACUGAACAUUGAGCCUUGAUGUGUAGGAUAGGUGGGAGGCUUUGAAGUGUGGACGCCAGUCUGCAUGGAGCCGACCUUGAAAUACCACCCUUUAAUGUUUGAUGUUCUAACGUGGACCCGUAAUCCGGGUUGCGGACAGUGUCUGGUGGGUAGUUUGACUGGGGCGGUCUCCUCCUAAAGAGUAACGGAGGAGCACGAAGGUUGGCUAAUCCUGGUCGGACAUCAGGAGGUUAGUGCAAUGGCAUAAGCCAGCUUGACUGCGAGCGUGACGGCGCGAGCAGGUGCGAAAGCAGGUCAUAGUGAUCCGGUGGUUCUGAAUGGAAGGGCCAUCGCUCAACGGAUAAAAGGUACUCCGGGGAUAACAGGCUGAUACCGCCCAAGAGUUCAUAUCGACGGCGGUGUUUGGCACCUCGAUGUCGGCUCAUCACAUCCUGGGGCUGAAGUAGGUCCCAAGGGUAUGGCUGUUCGCCAUUUAAAGUGGUACGCGAGCUGGGUUUAGAACGUCGUGAGACAGUUCGGUCCCUAUCUGCCGUGGGCGCUGGAGAACUGAGGGGGGCUGCUCCUAGUACGAGAGGACCGGAGUGGACGCAUCACUGGUGUUCGGGUUGUCAUGCCAAUGGCACUGCCCGGUAGCUAAAUGCGGAAGAGAUAAGUGCUGAAAGCAUCUAAGCACGAAACUUGCCCCGAG
rnacentral:rRNA from 1 species